rnacentral:rRNA from 1 species
UACAGAGGGGGCAAGCGUUGUUCGGAAUUACUGGGCGUAAAGCGCACGCAGGCGGUCUUUUAAGUUUGACGUGAAAGCUCCCGGCUUAACUGGGAGAGGUCGUUGAAGACUGGAAGACUUGAGGCAAUGAGAGGGGUGUAGAAUUCCCGGUGUAGUGGUGGAAUGCGUAGAUAUCGGGGGGAAUACCAGUGGCGAAAGCGGCACCCUAGCGUUAGCCUGACGCUCAUGUGCGAAAGCGUGGGGAGCGAACGGG